GUUUACAAUUUUCGAAAAGGCUUUAAAUUGCUGUUUUAAAGAAAUCAUUUGUGAAUCUUUGCAUAUUCCAGCCCGUAACUCCGCCGUAAAUGUGUGGCACGAAUACUCAAGGUCAUUUGCUCGGAGCAGGACCUUAAGGGUCCAUAGGCGUGUUAUAUAAACGAGCUGACGACACGAUUUUUUGAAACGCGAACUAUAUUUGCGUUUAUCGCGUGAUAACAGAUUUAAAUAUACGAAAUCAUACCUUAAUGGAGUAAGCAGAGUCGAGAUUACACAGCAUAAAUAGAAAUAACGAGAAGAUAUCACGUACAUUAAGACUUUGGUAAUCUCUAGUCGUAUAAAAAGGAUAAUUUAUUAAAUGACAUAGUUUACACUAAAGGGUCUAAAACGAGCUGUCGUCGUAGCAUUACGUCUCCUCAAUCAAUAUCUAACAAUACAUGGCGACCACGCCAGGAUUUAAACCUGGGAUGUUCAGGGCCGUAGAGAAGAUGCCUUUCUAUAACCGCUAAGUGAUAAUAGAAAAAAUAUAUAGGAGUGACAUGUCCUAUCUAUAAAUUUAUCGCUAAGAUAUGUUAUUGUCAUAAAUAACCGUGUGGUGGACGCCGUCGGCUUCGCACAGCAGCGCCAUAAACUUAGCGAGGCGCGCAAGC